rnacentral:rRNA from 1 species
UACGGAGGGUGCAAGCAUUAAUCGGAUUUAUUGGGCGUAAAGGGCGCGUAGGCGGAUUGGUAAGUUUAAUGUGAAAUUCCGAAGCUCAACUUCGGAGCUGCAUUGAAUACUGCUGGUCUAGAGGAUUGGCGGAGGAAAUGGAAUUCCACGUGUAGCGGUGAAAUGCGUAGAUAUGUGGAAGAACACCGGUGGCGAAAGCGAUUUCCUAGAUUAUUCCUGACGCUGAGGCGCGAGAGCAAGGGGAG